rnacentral:rRNA from 1 species
CUGAGGUGUGGCUCGCACCUGUCCAACUAAACUGAGCUACCUUUUUCAACACGGUUGCAUCGGUUGAGUGUCCUGUCCAAAAACGCGAGAGCGUCGAUGGGCCGGGGCCUCGACACUUUACACACACACUUUGGAUCUACUAGGAUUUGAAUGACAAUUUAUGACUGGUAAUUCGGUCGUUUAAAUUUAAAAACAACUUUUGGCAACGGAUCUCUUGGUUCUCCCAUCGAUGAAGAACGCAGCGAAUUGCGAUAAGUAAUGUGAAUUGCAGAAGUGAAUCAUCGAAUCUUUGAACGCACCUUGCGCUCCCUGCAGAUCUAAUCUGGGGAGCAUGCCUGUUUGAGGGCCGCGAAUUGUUUCGAACGCACGCUUUUUUUAAUUAAUUGGCAGGCGGAUCGGUAGUGAGGGUUUUCUUGCCAUUAACCGUGGCUCCCUCGAAAUGCAUUAGCGCAUCCAUUUGAUAGGCAAGGACGGACGAAAGCUCAUCUUUCGCCCUCUCUUCCCUGCCGGGUUUUGAUAAUAUCAGGACUUCGGAGGCGGAGAAAGGGUACGAGCUGGACGCGACGUUUUUGCUGGUUGGCGUGCUUCUGAACCCCGCCCAUGCCUCCUCGCGAGGAAGGGAUUUUAUAAUUCAUCGGCUCA